CACGUAGGCACCAAGCGUUGUCCGGAUUUAUUGGGCGUAAAGAGCUCGUAGGCGGUUUGUCACGUCUGCUGUGAAAUCCCGGGGCUCAACCUCGGGUCUGCAGUGGGUACGGGCAGACUGGAGUGCGGUAGGGGAGAAUGGAAUUCCUGGUGUAGCGGUGGAAUGCGCAGAUAUCAGGAGGAACACCGAUGGCGAAGGCAGUUCUCUGGGCCGUAACUGACGCUGAGGAGCGAAAGCGUGGGGAGCGAACAGG
rnacentral:rRNA from 1 species